GUCCACGCCGUAACGAUGCUAACUCGUUUGGGUCUUCGGAUUCAGAGACUAAGCGAAAGUGAUAAGUUAGCCACCUGGGAGUACGUUCGCAAGAAUGAACUCAAAGGAAUUGACGGGGCCCGCACAAGCAGUGGAUGAUGUGGUUUAAUUCGAUGCAACGCGAAACCUUACCCACCUUUGACAUGUACGGAAUCCUUUAGAGAUAGAGGAGUGCUCGAAAGAGAGCCGUAACACAGGUGCUGCAUGGCUGUCGU
rnacentral:rRNA from 1 species